rnacentral:misc_RNA from 1 species
AACGCAAGUUGCGCUUCCGGGAAAACGCUCGGGAGCAUGCCUCUUUGAGCAUCGGUUUUGCUCUACCGAGAUCUUUUCUCUUUUGCUUGGGUUGACCCAAGGGGGGGAGAGGAGGAGGAUGGUGGUUGAAAGGGGGGGAACUCUCCAAAGUCCCCAAAUCAUCCACUCAAAGUGUAGAAAACAGGGCGGGCUCUCUCUCAAUGGAAAGAGUGCUUUUGGAAUGUCUAAAUAACCAAACAGUCAUCCAAAUGGACACCAAAGAGAAAAGCGCCCCUCUCACCAAACGAGGUGUGUGGUCUCUCUCUUUUGAACCAAAAAAGAAAAAAGACCCACACACACCCCACUCCAACAAAUCAGAUCUCAAAUGAGGCAAGAGGACCCGCUGAACUUAA